rnacentral:lncRNA from 1 species
GAUAGAUUUAAACGACAAGUCGCGGUUCAACUUACCGGAAGAACCGGUGAGGAAUCUUGGCUUUGAAGUAGUACAAGGUCGGAAAAUCGAGGCCGAGGCAUGAGUAGUGACAGUCGCCAUUAUCCCUAGACUCAGAAGAUCCGACCCGAGAACCCGCUACUGUUAAAUGGUAAUCAAGAAAGAUUGAAAGAUGUGUUUCAGAGAUGGUUGUGAAGAACAGAGAUGACUCAAGAGUGGGGGAUUUGUAACUUUGCUGAAGAUGAAGUUUGUGGCUGUGGUUUAAUCAAUGAUUAUCUACCGUUGGAUUAGAUGACGUGGUUGAUUGAACGGAUGAGAUGGGUUUGAGGUGAGAUUUAGGCUUAUCUGUUUAUCUUCGAAGCGUAUCUUACAGAAGAUUGUUAUGUUCUUUGAGAUUGGUCGGAACAAGAUAGUGUCGGGUCCAUUGUUGUUACACGUGUCUGUGAUUCGGAUUUUAAAAUAUAAAGACUGAAGUGAGGAUUCUUG